CCCUUAGAUGUUCUGGGCCGCACGCGCGCUACACUGUUCGAUGCAGCGAGUCUUAACCUUGACCGAAAGGUUUGGGUAAUCUUCAGCAAAGUCGAACGUGAUGGGGAUCGAUCAUUGCAAUUAUUGAUCGUGAACGAGGAAUUCCUAGUAAGUGCAAGUCAUCAGCUUGCGCUGAUUACGUCCCUGCCCUUUGUACACACCGCCCGUCGCUACUACCGAUUGAAUGGUUUAGUGAGAUCUCUGGAUUGACGCUGGCUAGGGGGCGACCCUUGGCCAGACUGUUGAGAAACUGCUCAAACUUGAUCAUUUAGAGGAAGUAAAAGUCGUAACA
rnacentral:rRNA from 1 species